GAUGAACGCUAGCGGCAGGCUUAAUACAUGCAAGUCGAGGGACAGCACAGGUAGCAAUACUGGGUGGUAACCGGCAAACGGGUGCGGAACACGUACACAACCUUCCUUUAAGUGGGGGAUAGCCCAGAGAAAUUUGGAUUAAUACCCCGUAAUAUAGUUGAAUGGCAUCAUUUGAUUAUUAUAGCUACGGCGCUUAAUGAUGGGUGUGCGGCUGAUUAGAUAGUUGGCGGGGUAACGGCCAACCAAGUCUGCGAUCAGUAGCUGCUGUGAGAGCAUGAUCAGCCACACGGGCACUGAGACACGGCCCCGACUCCUACGGGAGGCAGCAGUAAGGAAUGUUGGUCAAUGGACGCAAGUCUGAACCAGCCAUGCCGCGUGAAGGAUUAAGGUCCUCUGGAUUGUAAACUUCUUUUAUUUGGGACGAAAAAGGGCCUUUCUAGGUCAACUGACGGUACCAGAUGAAUAAGCACCGGCUAACUCCGUGCCAGCCGCCGCGGUAA
rnacentral:rRNA from 1 species